rnacentral:tRNA from 1 species
GGCGACGUCGCCAAGUGGUAAGGCAUCGGUUUGCAAAACCGCUAUACGUCAGUUCGAUCCUGACCGUCGCCU